ACGGGAGGCAGCAGUGGGGAAUAUUGGACAAUGGGGGCAACCCUGACCCAGCAAUGCCGCGUGUGUGAUGAAGGCCUUAGGGUUGUAAAACACUUUCAACGGUGAAGAUGAUGACGGUAGCCGUAGAAGAAGCCCCGGCUAACUUCGUGCCAGCAGCCGCGGUAAUACGAAGGGGGCGAGCGUUGUUCGGAAUUACUGGGCGUAAAGGGCGCGCAGGCGGCCUAUCCAGUCAGGUGUGAAAGCCCCGAGCUCAACUUGGGAACUGCACUUGAUACUGAUAGGCUAGAAAACGGAAGAGGGCAGUGGAAUUCCCAGUGUAGAGGUGAAAUUCGUAGAUAUUGGGAAGAACACCAGUGGCGAAAGCGGCUGCCUGGUCCGAUUUUGACGCUGAGGCGCGAAAGCGUGGGUAGCAAACAGGAUUAGAUACCCUGGUAGUCCACGCCGUAAACGAUGUAUGCUAGUUGUUGGGGGGAUGCCCCUCGGUGACGCCGCUAACGCAUUANNCAUACCGCCUGGGAAGUACGGUCGCAAGAUUAAAACUCNNAGGAAUUGACGG
rnacentral:rRNA from 1 species